GGCUGAUGAGAUAGUUCAGUCGGUAGAGCAUGAAACUCUUAAUCUCAGGGUUGUUGUUUUGAGACCCACAUUGGGCA
rnacentral:tRNA from 1 species